AACUAUAACGGUCCUAAGGUAGCGAAAUUCCUUGUCGGGUAAGUUCCGACCUGCACGAAUGGCGUAAUGAUGGCCAGGCUGUCUCCACCCGAGACUCAGUGAAAUUGAACUCGCUGUGAAGAUGCAGCUUACCCGGCGGCUUUUCAAUAAAUUGUUGGAUCGCGCUGUAGGACGUUUCAUGAUGCUGCACCAGGUUGACCAUCGGCUGUAGACUGCUCUCUCCCAGCCAGCGCUCCAUACGCUUAAACCA
rnacentral:rRNA from 1 species